UACGAAGGGGGCUAGCGUUGCUCGGAAUCACUGGGCGUAAAGGGUGCGCAGGCGGGUCUUUAAGUCAGGGGUGAAAUCCUGGAGCUCAACUCCAGAACUGCCUUUGAUACUGAGGAUCUUGAGUUCGGGAGAGGUGAGUGGAACUGCGAGUGUAGAGGUGAAAUUCGUAGAUAUUCGCAAGAACACCAGUGGCGAAGGCGGCUCACUGGCCCGAUACUGACGCUGAGGCACGAAAGCGUGGGGAGCAAACAGG
rnacentral:rRNA from 1 species